rnacentral:rRNA from 1 species
UACGUAGGGCGCAAGCGUUGUCCGGAAUUAUUGGGCGUAAAGAGCUCGUAGGCGGCUUGUCACGUCGGGUUGUGAAAGCCCGGGGCUUAACCCCGGGUCUGCAUUCGAUACGGGCUAGCUAGAGUGUGGUAGGGGAGAUCGGAAUUCCUGGUGUAGCGGUGAAAUGCGCAGAUAUCAGGAGGAACACCGAUGGCGAAGGCAGGUCGCUGGGCCACUGACUGACGUGAGAAGCGAAAGCUGGGGAGCGAACAGG